GCAUGAGAGAAGAUGGGCGGCAGCAGGUUUGUAUUGUUGGACUUCAAGAAUUUGAAGUGUCUGAUGUACAAAUUGUCAAAGAAUAUAUCGAGAAGGGAAAUGCAGCUAGGAGUACAGGGUCCACUGGUGCCAAUGAGGAGUCUUCAAGGUCACAUGCUAUAUUGCAACUUGCUGUUAAGAAACAUCCUGAAGUAAAGGAAUCCAGAAGGAACAAUGACGGAAAUGAGUUGAAAAGUGGGAAGCUUGUUGGGAAAAUCUCUUUUAUUGAUUUGGCUGGCAGCGAAAGAGGUGCUGAUACAACUGAUAAUGACCGUCAGACAAGGAUUGAGGGAGCGGAAAUCAACAAAAGUCUUUUGGCUUUGAAGGAAUGCAUCCGUGCCUUGGACAACGAUCAGAUUCAUAUACCCUUCCGUGGAAGCAAACUCACAGAAGUGCUCCGUGAUUCCU
rnacentral:misc_RNA from 1 species